AUGCUCACUUCGGCAGCACAUAUACUAAAAUUAGAAUGAUACAGAGAAGAUUAGCAUAGCUCUGCCUAAGGAUGACACACAGAUUCAUAAAACAUUCCAUAUUAAA
rnacentral:snRNA from 1 species